rnacentral:rRNA from 1 species
AUCCAGCGAACUUGGCAGAGAUGCCUUGGUGCCUUCGGGAACGCUGAGACAGGUGCUGCAUGGCUGUCGUCAGCUCGUGUUGUGAAAUGUUGGGUUAAGUCCCGNAACGAGCGCAACCCUUAUCCUUUGUUGCCAGCGAUUCGGUCGGGAACUCAAAGGAGACUGCCGGUGAUAACCGGAGGAAGGUGGGGAUGACGUCAAGUCAUCAUGGCCCUUACGAGUAGGGCUACACACGUGCUACAAUGGCGCAUACAAAGAGAAGCGACCUCGCGAGAGCAAGCGGACCUCAUAAAGUGCGUCGUAGUCCGGAUCGGAGUCUGCAACUCGACUCCGUGAAGUCGGAAUCGCUAGUAAUCGUGGAUCAGAAUGCCACGGUGAAUACGUUCCCGGGCCUUGUACACACCGCCCGUCACACCAUGGGAGUGGGUUGCAAAAGAAGUAGGUAGCUUAACCUUCGGGAGGGCGCUUACCACUUUGUGAUUCAUGACUGGGGUGAAGUCGUAACAAGGUAGGCGUAGCGAG